CCGCCCAACAGCGUCCCGGGGCGGGGCUCCCCUCGGCUCCCGGCUGCCCUUUUCCCCGCAGCCUCUGUCCGGGCUGGAGUGCACCGGCCGAGCUCCGGACACGUGCGGAGGGGCCAGCUGUGGACUUUGGGCAAAUGCAACCCCAGAAUGACUUGAAAGUAGGGCAUCUUUGGCCCUCCUGAAGAGAGGAAAUUAAAGGCGGACAGUCUGUGUAUGGAGUUUUCAGAUACCUUCACCUAAGUGAGAAACCUGCCUUCAUCAGGACCUCAGAUGUCUGACAGCCCUGUGUGACACCAAGAGAAGUAGUGGUUGAAACUACUGUCAAUGGACUGUUGCAUUGAAAUUUUGGAUCAUGUCUCACAUUUUAAUCAGGAAAAUAGGACCCCAGAGGAAUAAAUUCUGCAGGUCCCAAAGGCACAUAAAAAAGUGGCUCAGUGCCUAGGAAUUCACAUAAAGGAAAACAACCUGGAUCCCAUUGAGGAUAUUACAUUUAGUCAUCACGUCUCCUUAGACUCCUCUUGGCUGUGACAGCUUCUUAGACUUUCUUUGUUUUUGAUGAGCUUGAGUUUUGGGUCAGGUGUUUUGUAAAAAGUCCCUUCAAUUAGGAUUGAGUUUUUCUCAGGAUUAGGCUAGGCAUUAAGGAAUUUUGAGAGAACACAGAAGUAAAGUGCCAUUCUCAUCAUGUAUCAAGAGUGUAUACUAUCAAUAUGAUUUUCUCCUAUUGAUGUUAAUCUUGAUCACCUGGCUGAGGUCUUAUUUGCCAGUUUUCUCCACUGUAAAGUUACUCCCCCUCACCCAACACUGUACUCUUUGGGAAUAAAGUCACUAUGUGAAGCCCAUAAUUAAGGAGAGGGGAGUUGUGUUCUCCUUGAGGGUAGAAGGUCUACAUAAGUUAUUUGGAAUUCUUCAGAAAGAAAUUGGUCUCUUCUCCCUCAUUUAUUCAAUUUAUACUUUAGGAAAAAAAUCCAAUAAUACUUAAUUUUGUUAAAGUGUUCCAGAUUUGGCCUUUGGGAGCUGUUUCAGGUGGCUCCUAUGUCCCUUCAAUAUGCCCCCAUCAUUGUGAGGUUGUUUUAAGCACUUCUCACUAUGGCCCUAUACGAUGGUUCAGGCUCAUCUUGUAUUUUUCCUGUCCCAGUCCCAGAGUCAACCAUUUGGUUGUAAGUUUUAUCCUGGUACUCACAAGGAGCCCUGCUUCCUUUAUUGGAGAAUAAUACUAAGGAACCAAGAUCUGGGCACUAGAUGUGCUCUUGGUACUGAGGUUUUGUUGCUUCUAGGCCCUAUCAGCUGAUAGAACACUGAAGUAUAUAUGUAUGCAUAUAUAAGGAUCCUAACCAGGAUCCUUAGUUUAUAGCCCCCUAUAUUCUAUAAAUGUUCCACUUUUAAUAAUGACAUUUUAUUCUAUGGUCUUUGUUUAUUCUCUUUCAUCUAGAAUAGUGGUUGAGCUGUUGUCUUUUAUAGCAGAUGCUGUAGUUCCCAGAUGACUGAUUAUUUUUACCCUAUGAGCUCACAGUAGAGGAUGGGAAUUUUGUGUCAGCUGCCGGUAGAGAGGAGCCAAGCCCAGGCCCUGGUGUCCUAAAGAGUUGAAGGAGAAGAGAGAGAGCCUUAAGGCACAGAACCUCUGAGUUAGAAUCAGGGCUUCACCAGAGCAGCAGAUGGUCAAACUGCUUCUCCUUCCCCUCAGUUGCAAUUCUCUCAAGAACUCCAGGUGCUAGUAAGUAAGGUUGCAUUAUGCUGGCCACUCCAGCAAGUGAUGAGUUGAACAUGAGGCAAUGAAUAGGAUAGGGGAAAAGAACAGAAGUUUCGUCACCACCAAGAUUACCCCUACUCCCAUGGCACUCUACCCUUUUCUACACUGGACUUCCAUUUCUUGCCCUUGUAUAGUGGGACCCAAUCAUGAUCUGUUUCUCCAAGGGACUCUUCAUAUUUAAUUUCUCAGAUCUCUAACUUCCCUCUUAUUUGUGUAAUACCUCCAGGGCUGAGUUAGAGGAAGAGGCAAUAGCCUAUGGUAAUUACUCAUCUUGUCAAACUGGUCAUUUAAUAGAUACCCUUUAUCGGUUUAUUAGUUUUAUUAACUGAAUUCUGUUAGACAUUGGGGAUAAGUGAUGAACAAACACAUUCUCUGCUCACCUUAAUAUGUACAGUCUAGCCUUUAUCUCUCUCGCCUCAUCUUUGCCACCUUGGUUUCUUUCAGUCCUUGAUAAGCCUUUUACUACGAGGUCUCUGCGCAUGCUGUUUCUGUCUGGGUCCAUCUUCUCUACUUUGUCUAAUUUGAGAUCUCGGCUCAGACAGCACUUCUGCAGAGAAGCCACCUUUCCUGACUGAGCACCCAUUAUAUGUGUAAUUGCACUGUUUUACCACAGAGCUAGAAAGUCAGCUGCCAUGUAAGAGUCCUUUGAAAAGCUGGUAUUCACCAGCUUCUAAAGAUUUACCUCAUUCCCCUAUGGCCAAGCAGGUUCAAUUCUACUGACAACUGAUUAAAGGGCCUCAGCUGGUAAAUAUUAAUGUCUGUGUGUCAUAAUGUACCCAAAAUAGAGUAAGGCCAUAGGCAUAUCCUGUUUUUUAAUAAUACCCCAGUAAAUGAGGAUAAAGAGAUUGCUGGUUUUGUUCUUUUUAAAAAAUUUUGAAACAGAAAAAUCAUAGAAACAAGUGUCAGAUUUCCUAAUCAUUUGCUAGUGGACCCUAAAGAUAUAAUAUAGUGCACAAAUAUUUGACACUAAAUUUAGCUUGAAAAAGUAUUAAAUGAACAUAGUGGAUUUGCAGAGAAUUUGUUCAAAUUUGAGACAUCUGUUAACUAAAAUAAUGUGGGAUUUUCUUUUUUUGGUAAUCUAUAAAUGUCUUUAUAGUUAAGAAAAUUAGUAAAACAUCUUUGUGUAUAAAUUAUAGCUUGCAUAGCCUCUCUUACUAGCAGUCAUUGCGCUGAUGAAUAGGUACCAGGAUAAAACUUAUAACCAGAUUUAAGUGAGUAAUUUUAACAUGUUUACUCUGGGGCUCUAUAAAAAUGAAUAAUCUUUGAAUCUAUGGUUUUGUCAUUUUAGGAUAUUCAUGUAAAUAUGCUGCAGGUCCUGUGGCACCAUAGAAUAUUGACAAUAUUUAGUGCAUGUUGACCAUGUGCCAGAACUAUUAAAUUCAUUCUACACAUCUGUUUAUCCUCUCAACAACUCUACAAGGGACUUGGCGAGGCUACAGCUAUCUAUCUGGAGGCUUCACUUUGGCUGGAAAUUGGCACUGGCUGUCACCUGAGAGCUCAGCUGGGGCUGUUGACUGAAGCUCCUUGGUUCUGUUUUUUUUUUUUUUUUAAUUGAGGAAGAUUAGCCCUGAGCUAACAUCUGCUGCCAAUCCUCUUUUUGCUGAGGAAGACUGGCCCUGAGCUAACAUCCGUGCCCAUCUUCCUCUAUUUUAUAUGUGGGAGACCUACUACAGCAUGGCUUGACACACCUGGGAUCCGGGUCACCAAAGCGGAACAUGUGAACUUACUUAACCUGCUGCCCCACUGGCCUGGCCCUCCUUGGUUCUCUUAAUGUGGCCUUUUCAUAUUGGUUGGGAUUCUCGCAGCAUGGCAACUUGGUUCCAAGCGGAUGAAAGGAAAUCUUAUAAUUAACUUCUGCAGUCUCUGGAUCUAAGCCAGUUACAGGGCCCUUCCGGAUGCAGGUAGAGGGGAACUUGAUUCCACUAUUCCAUAAGAAGAGUGGCAAAGAAUUUGUGACCAUCUUUAAUUCACAAGCAUGUGUAUAUACAUGUAUGUAUGUAUCUACACACUAAAUGUUUAUAGAAUCCAUAGACUACACAAGAAAUGGUUGAUAGUGGGUGGCCUUUAUGUAAGGGAGUAGGGGUUGGGGAAAUCUUAUUUGUGUUCUUUGAAUUUUAUUGUGUGUAUUACCUAUUCAAAAAGUCCUUUUUAAGCCCUCGUCCCCCAUGCCACUGUUAAAAGAGCCACUGGUUGACAGUCUAAAAUAUAGGAAUGCCCUGGCUUCAUGUUUUCUUCUCUGCUCAAAACUGUAAAAGGUCUUCAUUAUCAGCUCAAAUUUCAGACUCUAUCCUGGUGUUAGAUAAUAUAGCUGUACCAAACUUGCCACUUAGACCUUUCAAAGUCUCAGGAGAAAUUCUUGCUUUGUAGCCUCAUUCUUUACCAUCCCUGGUGUACACCACACCAACUCCCAAAUAACCCAAAUGUGAAUAAAGCUCUUGAUCCAUCUCUGCUCACAGCCAGGCUCAUCUUGAGGCCAGACUCCUUGUCCAGUCUCCUAAAUCAGACCAGGAUCCUCAGGACCUAGUGAUUUGUCUUAUCCAUCAUUGAGUCCCUACACUUGUACAGUGUUCUUCAUGAAAUAGGCUUUUGAUGACUGAAGUGUUGUAUUAACUUUGGUUUUCA
ensembl:lncRNA